GGGCCCGCACAAGCGGUGGAGCAUGUGGUUUAAUUCGAUGAUACGCGAGGAACCUUACCAGGGUUUAAAUGCAGAACGACAGGGGUGGAAACACCCCCUUCUUCGGACGGACUGCAAGGUGCUGCAUGGUUGUCGUCAGCUCGUGCUGUGAAGUGUCGGGUUAAGUCCCAUAACGAGCGCAACCCCCAUUUCUAGUUGCCAGCGGUUCGGCCGGGGACUCUAACGGAACUGCCGGUGCAAACCGUGAGGAAGGUGGGGACGACGUCAAAUCAUCACGGCCCUUACGUCCUGGGCCACACACGUGCUACAAUGGUAGGUACAGAGGGAAGCCACCCCGCGAGGGGAG
rnacentral:rRNA from 1 species